rnacentral:rRNA from 1 species
GCUCAGGACGAACGCUGGCGGCGUGCCUAAUACAUGCAAGUCGAGCGGACCGACGGGAGCUUGCUCCCUUAGGUCAGCGGCGGACGGGUGAGUAACACGUGGGUAACCUGCCUGUAAGACUGGGAUAACUNCGGGAAACCGGGGCUAAUACCGGAUGCUUGAUUGAACCGCAUGGUUCAAUNAUAAAAGGUGGCUUUNAGCUACCACUUGCAGAUGGACCCGCGGCGCAUUAGCUAGUUGGUGAGGUAACGGCUCACCAAGGCGACGAUGCGUAGCCGACCUGAGAGGGUGAUCGGCCACACUGGGACUGAGACACGGCCCAGACUCCUACGGGAGGCAGCAGUAGGGAAUCUUCCGCAAUGGACGAAAGUCUGACGGAGCAACGCCGCGUGAGUGAUGAAGGUUUUCGGAUCGUAAAACUCUGUUGUUAGGGAAGAACAAGUNCCGUUCGAAUAGGGCGGNACCUUGACGGUACUAACCAGAAAGCCACGGCUAACUACGUGCCAGCAGCCGCGGUAAUACGUAGGUGGCAAGCGUUGUCCGGAAUUAUUGGGCGU